rnacentral:tRNA from 1 species
GCAGUUGUGGCGAAAUUGGCAGACGCGCAGGAUUUAGGUUCCUGUGUCGAAAGACGUGAGGGUUCAAGUCCCUUCAACUGCA